rnacentral:rRNA from 1 species
UACGGAGGGGGCUAGCGUUGUUCGGAAUUACUGGGCGUAAGGCGCACGUAGGCGGCUUUGUAAGUUAGAGGUGAAAGCCCGGGGCUCAACUCCGGAAUUGCCUUUAAGACUGCAUCGCUCGAAUUGUGGAGAGGUAAGUGGAAUUCCGAGUGUAGAGGUGAAAUUCGUAGAUAUUCGGAAGAACACCAGUGGCGAAGGCGACUUACUGGACACAUAUUGACGCUGAGGUGCGAAAGCGUGGGGAGCAAACAGG